UAUGGAUGUGCCGCCGCCGCGGUAAUACGGAGGGUGCAAGCGUUAAUCGGAAUCACUGGGCGUAAAGCGCACGUAGGCGGCUUGGUAAGUCAGGGGUGAAAUCCCACAGCCCAACUGUGGAACUGCCUUUGAUACUGCCAGGCUUGAGUACCGGAGAGGGUGGCGGAAUUCCAGGUGUAGGAGUGAAAUCCGUAGAUAUCUGGAGGAACACCGGUGGCGAAGGCGGCCACCUGGACGGUAACUGACGCUGAGGUGCGAAAGCGUGGGUAGCAAACAGG
rnacentral:rRNA from 1 species